GCGGUCGUAGUUCAGUUGGUUAGAACACCAGAUUGUGGAUCUGGGGGUCGCGGGUUCAAAUCCCGUCGACCGCC
rnacentral:tRNA from 1 species